AAUCCGUUCAGUACAAUGUAUAUUGUGUUUGGAAAAACUACACCGAUAUUUCAAACCGAUAGCAAUAAUGCAUACUUCAUUUCAGAUGCCAGAACACGGAUUCGUGAACAUUUAAGCAGGGUACAUUUUCGACGCUUUUUUGGAAGAAGGAGACAACGAUAUGACAUUAGCACGACACCUAAUGCAUAUUGGUAUAAUGGAAGAAGUCAGGAAGGUCAAAUGCA